UACGUAGGGGGCAAGCGAUACUCGGAAUCACUAGGCGUAAAGCGCAGGUAGGCGGUUUGGCAAGUCUUUUGUGAAAGCCCCCGGCUUAACUGGGAGAGGUCAAGGGAAACUACCGGACUAGAGUGUGGUAGGGGAUACUGGAAUUCCUGGUGUAGCGGUGAAAUGCGUAGAUAUCAGGAGGAAUACCUAUGGCGAAAGCAGGUAUCUGGGCCAUCACUGACGCUGAGCUGCGAAAGCUAGGGGAGCGAACAGG
rnacentral:rRNA from 1 species